AGAGUUUGAUCAUGGCUCAGAUUGAACGCUGGCGGCAUGCCUUACACAUGCAAGUCGAACGGCAGCACGGGUGCUUGCACCUGGUGGCGAGUGGCGAACGGGUGAGUAAUACAUCGGAACGUACCUUAUCGUGGGGGAUAACGCAGCGAAAGCUGUGCUAAUACCGCAUACGCCCUGAGGGGGAAAGCGGGGGAUCGCAAGACCUCGCGCGAUUAGAGCGGCCGAUGCCUGAUUAGCUUGUUGGUGGGGUAAAAGCCCACCAAGGCGACGAUCAGUAGCUGGUCUGAGAGGACGAUCAGCCACACUGGGACUGAGACACGGCCCAGACUCCUACGGGAGGCAGCAGUGGGGAAUUUUGGACAAUGGGGGCAACCCUGAUCCAGCAAUGCCGCGUGAGUGAAGAAGGCCUUCGGGUUGUAAAGCUCUUUUGUCAGGGAAGAAACACCGGCUCUAACACAGUCCGGGAAUGACGGUACCUGAAGAAUAAGCACCGGCUAACUACGUGCCAGCAGCCGCGGUAAU
rnacentral:rRNA from 1 species